UUUUAAUUGUUGAUAAUUAUCUGGUUGUCUCGAUAAACGUGAAACUAGAUAUUUUGAUUCAUCCUUAUCUUGUAAUAAUUGCAGUGGGACCCGCAUACUAAUGACUGAUUAAAAAGCCCCGUUUUGAUGAUUAUCUUGAAAACCAGUACCGAUUGGACCCCGCUUUAUUAAUAUAAAGCUAUUAAAUACGUAUUUUCAUGUCAUAUACGAUCCAAAGGGGUACCAAUUAUUUGUAAAUAUAAAUAGACCUUUCUAGAGCUUAUUUUCACCGUAGAAAUCAUUUCACCAGUUUCUUCUCACGAAUACCGAGAGAAACCGAGCUGCGUUCUUCGUGUUCUUCGUAAUCAAACGAGGAUUUGGAGGUGUUAUUGGAAUCCGAUGGAGGCGUAUGAAUAGUCAAAACGAAGCUAUCGACGCAUAGAAUCUAUUACUAUCAGUGGUUUCAGUGCAGAAUCGACAGGAUUUGGACGAGACGUGUACGCUCGAAGACGUCAGGAAGUCGAAAUGGUAUUGCAAGGCGAAUAAGGGAUGAACCGAGGAAGCAAAGAUGUACGGUAGAUAGAGUAUAGCCAGAGAUGGUCUAGAGACUAUGAUAUGCAUAGAUUGUGAAAGUGGAAAGAUGAGAUUGAGAUGUGAGACUGGAGUCAGAUUUAAGAAAGGCUUAAAGAUGAGAUGAUUGAUUGAGAUUGUGAAUAAGGCUAAUGCUAGGCGAGGAGACAGAGUUGAGAAUCCAGUGGUCGAGGAGUGUUCAGGAAAGUUGAUGAGGUUGGUGCAAGCUAGAGUUGAGCUAUGGAAAUUCAGAUGUAAGUCAUAGCUGGAAUAGAUUGGCAGUGAUUCUUCUUAUCGGAGAUGAUCUGAUUUGGUAAGAGAUGUGGUGUAAUAAUUAGUGAUUCUAAUUUCAAUACUGUAACCUGGAUGCGAUCCUGUUGCUUUUAGGGGGUUGAAAUGUCUCUUUCGAAUCAUUUAUUAAAGUUUAAAUGUUCUCUUGAAAUUCUCUUAUUAUGGCUUUCAAGUUUGAAAUUCUCUUAUUAUGGCUUUCAAGUUUGAAAUUCAGGUUUUGAAAUCAUUUGAUUUGUGUUCUCUUUCAAAUCUUUUAUUAAAUGUUUUCAAGUUUUAAAUUCUUGGAUUUGAUUAUCAUAAAAAAAAAAAAAAAAAAUACAGGUUUUCAAAAGUGUUUAAAAAUGGGUUUUAUGUGGUGACGUCAGAAUCCAGGCCCCCGGAUUCUCGGACUGUCACACUACAAACUCCUAUAAUGCAACGCCGUUUGAGUUCUGUUGCAUAGAAAACCAAGGGUCUAUUGCAAUACUUUCCAUGCAACACUAGGAAUAAGCGUUGCGUAUGAGCACUUAUGGCGUAGUGCUUCGGAGGGAUACGAAGACCGACCCUUCCGAGGGACAUGAAGACUAGUGUCGGGCUCAUCUAGUAGUUAUCAGCUUCAUCCGGGCAUGAUCUAUAAUCCUCAAUCCUGUUAUCUGGCGGGUUGCCCUCGUGCGGGGGCUUGAGGUGAUCAUGAUUGUUAAAGGCCCUCCGGGGUGACAUGAAGGCCGAUCACAUGUCUGGAUCCUGUAUUCUGGUGAGAUAGCCCUCAUUGGGGGAUUGAGACGAUCGUGUAAUUUGGCUCCUCAAUGGUCUUACCUCUUAGUGAGAACCUUCACUAGGGGGUAAGGACGCGUCCCUACACCUCAAGAAAUUGGUCACGGCUCUACUAGACGUCUCUUCCAUGCUACGAAAGGUAGCGGUUAGUGUUAUCUCUCGUAGUGGAGAUAAUUCCGUAUCCGUGAUGUACUUGGACUAGGAGCCUAAGGUAGUUGGCCUCAAGGCUUAAUUCUAACUAGAGUAGAACUCUAAGUGAUAAGUCACCGGCUUAAGGUUGGUCUUAUCCCCAAGAGGCCUAGUCCUGAUCAAACUAGGAGUCUUGGUUCAAUAGAACUACGUAUGGCUUGAUCCCCUAUAAAUAUAGGGAUCAUGAGUUGAGAGCACAAGGAGGCAACUCAAAACCCUAAUCUCAGCCACCCCUUAAAACACACAACCACCACACUCCGGCAGGUAAAACCACCGUCACAGAUCUUGAUUCCGGCCAUGAACCUCAUCUUUGUUAAUUACCAAAUUCCUCCAUCAACAGUAAACAUCACAAAAUUUCCAGUUCUUUCUCUUAUUGCUAAAGAUGUGCUUGCGAUUCCUGUUUCCACGGUUGCAUCGGAAUCUGCUUUCAGUGUUGGUGGAAGAGUUCUUGACUCAUUUAGGAGUUCUUUGACUCCUAAAGUGGUAGAGGCUCUAAUUUGUGGUCAGGACUGGAUUCGAGCUGCUCCACUUCCUUCGGUAGAAGAGAAUAUUGAUGAUGUGGAAAAAUUAGAAGUGAUUUUAACAAUUUAGUUCUGGGAGCAAGUGGCAACAGAGUGGGUUUCAAUGCUAAUCAGGAAUUACGUUAAGGUUGUUGCUGAUAUGCUGAUGUCGGGGUCGUGGUUGGAUGCUAAAGUCUGCAUUUCUAUUAUUUUCGAACUAUUUGUUGAAGAAGUUUUCAAUUAAAUUGUGGCACUACUCUUUAAUUAUUCAAGUUUAUGCAUUUUUUUGGACAACAAUUUGUAAUGGAAACAAAAUGAUAAUUUCUAGUAUUAUUCAUGAAUCCUCAUUUUUUGA